CUCCGCCGGCGACCGGCGCACGGGUGAGUAACGCGUAUGCAACCUGCCCGUUUCAGCGGGAUAACCCGGAGAAACCCGGCCUAAUACCGCAUGUGGCCGAGGGGAGGCAUCUUCUUUCGGCCAAAGGAGGCGACUCCGGAGACGGAUGGGCAUGCGUGACAUUGGCUAGUUGGCGGGGUAACGGCCCACCAAGGCGACGAUGUCUAGGGGUUCUGAGAGGAAGGUCCCCCACACUGGUACUGAGACACGGACCAGACUCCUACGGAAGGCAGCAG
rnacentral:rRNA from 1 species